UAAAGUUAUUAAGGGCGUACGGGGAAUGCCUAGGCACAUGGAGCCGAUGAAGGACGUGGUAAGCUGCGAAAAGCCUCGGGAAGGAGCAAACAUCCUUAGAUCCGGGGAUUUCCGAAUGGGGCAACCCAAAUCGAGUCAUGUCGAUUAACUCCUGUCUGAAUAUAUAGGACAGGGUGAGACAACGAGGUGAACUGACACAUCUAAGUAACCUCAGGAAGAGAAACCAAAAGGGAUUUCCUCAGUAGCGGCGAGCGAACGGGAAAGAGCCUAAACCGCCAACGUGCCAAGCUUACAGGCGUUGCGCUGACGGGGUUGUGGGAUCGAUUCAGAGUCUGCUGUAACAGACUCGGCAAGUCAAAAAAUCUGAUAUUAAUUGAAUGGUCUGGAAAGUCCAACCGUAGAAGGUGAUAGUCCUGUAAGUGAAAAUUGAAGAUCUUGUUGGAAUUGACACCCGAGUAACACGGGACACGAGAAAUCUUGUGUGAAUCUGCCGGGACCAUCCGGUAAGGCUAAAUACUCCCAUGUGACCGAUAGUGAACUAGUACCGUGAGGGAAAGGUGAAAAGUACUCCUAACGGAGAGUGAAAUAGAACCUGAAACCGUAUGCCUACAAGCAGUCAGAGCUCCAGUUAUCUUCGGAUAGCGGAGUGAUGGCGUGCCUUUUGCAUAAUGAGCCAGUGAGUUACUCGUAUAUUGCAAGGUUAAGACUAUAAGGUCGGAGCCGUAGCGAAAGCAAGUCUGAAUAGGGCGUUGAGUAAUAUGCGGUAGACCCGAAACCGAGUGAUCUAGCCAUGGUCAGGAUGAAGUCCCGGUAACACGGGAUGGAGGUCCGAACCCACCAGCGUUGAAAAGCUGGGGGAUGAACUGUGGUUAGGGGUGAAAGGCCAAUCAAACUCGGAGAUAUCUGGUUCUCGCCGAAAUGCCUUUAGGGGCAGCGUCAUGUUAGUAUACCGGGGGUAGAGCACUGAAUGGGCUAGGGGGCCUACAAGCUUACCGACCCCAAUCAAACUCCGAAUACCGGUAUUAUAAUGCAUGGCAGUGAGCUCAUGGGGGAUAAGCUUCAUGAACAAAAGGGAAAGAACCCAGACCAUCAGCUAAGGUCCCAAAGUCGAUGCUAAGUGAUAAAGGAUGUCAAAUCGCCCAGACAGCUAGGAGGUUGGCUUAGAAGCAGCCAUCCUUUAAAGAAAGCGUAACAGCUCACUAGUCGAGGGGUUUUGCGCCGAUAAUUUCCGGGACUAAGCAUCGCACCGAAGCUAUGGACUUUGACAUUUGUAUGUCAGAGUGGUAGGCGAGCGUUCCAUCGACCGUCGAAGGUUGACCCGUGAGGGCAGCUGGAGGAAAUGGAAAUGAGUAUGCUGGCAUGAGUAGCGAUAAAGCCUGUGAAAUGCAGGCUCGCCGCAAGCCCAAGGUUUCCUGAGUAAAGUUAAUCUGCUCAGGGUUAGUCGGACCCUAAGCCGAGGCCGAAAGGCGUAGGCGAUGGAAAACAGGUUUAAUAUUCCUGUACCAGUGCAACAUUGUUUGAACUAAGGGGGGACGCAGAAGUGAAAGGUCAGCCCGGUUUUGAUAGUCCGGGUUUAAGUGCGUAGGGAGUCCUGGUAGGUAAAUCCGCCGGGACAUUAAUCCUGAGACACGAAUAGGAGAGCCUAGCUCAUAAACUGACCCUAAUCAUGCUGCCAAGAAAAUCCUCUAUGUUAGAUGCUGCGCUGACCGUACCGUAAACGGACACACGUGGGCGAGGAGAGUAUCCUCAGGCGCUUGUGAGAAUCCAGGUUAAGGAACUCGGCAAAUUAGCCCCGUAACUUCGGGAGAAGGGGUGCCCUUAUUAGGUGAAAGACUUCGCGUCCGGAGCCGAAAAGGGCCGCAGUGACCAGGCUCAAUCGACUGUUUACUAAAAACACAGGUCUCUGCUAAGUCGCAAGACGACAUAUAGGGACUGACACCUGCCCGGUGCUGGAAGGUUAAAUGGAGGGGUUAUCCGCCAACUGGCGGAGAAGCUCUGAAAUGAAGCCCCAGUAAACGGCGGCCGUAACUAUAACGGUCCUAAGGUAGCGAAAUUCCUUGUCGGGUAAGUUCCGACCUGCACGAAUGGUGUAACGAAUUGAGCACUGUCUCGACCUGGAGCACAGCGAAAUUGAAGUGUCGGUGAAGAUACCGGCUACCCGCGGCAGGACGAAAAGACCCCGUGAACCUUUACUACAACUUAGCAUUGGAUUCUGGUUCUGCAUGUGCAGGAUAGGUGGGAGGCUUUGAAGCUCGGACGCUAGUCCGGGUGGAGCCAACCUUGAAAUACCACCCUUGUAUUGCUAGAACUCUAAUCCCGACCCGUGAAUCCGGGCGAGAGACAGUGUUAGGUGGGUAGUUUGACUGGGGCGGUCUCCUCCCAAAAGGUAACGGAGGAGCUCAAAGGUUCCCUCAGCACGGUCGGUAAUCGUGCGUAGAGUGCAAAGGCAUAAGGGAGCUUAACUGCGAGGUCGACGGACCGAGCAGGUGCGAAAGCAGGACUUAGUGAUCUGGUGGUUCCGUAUGGAAGGGCCAUCACUCAACGGAUAAAAGGUACUCCGGGGAUAACAGGCUUAUCUCCCCCAAGAGUUCACAUCGACGGGGAGGUUUGGCACCUCGAUGUCGGCUCAUCACAUCCUGGAGCUGGAGAAGGUUCCAAGGGUUGGGCUGUUCGCCCAUUAAAGUGGUACGUGAGCUGGGUUUAGAACGUCGUGAGACAGUUCGGUCUCUAUCCGCCGUGGGCGCAAGAUAUUUGAGGGAAUCUGCUUCUAGUACGAGAGGACCGAAGUGGACGAACCUCUGGUGUACCAGUUGUUCCAUCAGGAGCACGGCUGGGUAGCUAUGUUCGGACCGGAUAAGCGCUGAAAGCAUAUAAGCGCGAAACCGAUCCCAAGAUAAGAUAUCUCUAACUUAAGUUAAUAAGGCUCGUUGUAGACUACGACGUUGAUAGGCUGUAGGUGUAAGGCCAGUAAUGGUUUUAGCUGAGCAGUACUAAUAAGCCGAAAGGCUUUACCAA
rnacentral:rRNA from 1 species